rnacentral:lncRNA from 1 species
CACACUGUGACUUUCAGACAUUAACCUAACACACUAACAAUGUUUCACUAAUACACUGUAAAAUGUAAUUCUAGAUGUUUGUUAUUUCAACAUAUUAUUCUAUAUCAGUUUGACGAUAGAUGACUGAAGUUGUUGUUAUAACAUAGAAUUACAAGUUAAAAACGUCCCAAUUACACCAAAAAAAGCUAACUUGAAAACUCAUGUCCAGCUAAAUCAGCAACUUAUGUGAACUUGACAAUGUGGGUAAGUUGAGCACAGCAGGAUUCAAAACUGCCUCACGUGACUGCUACCGAGGUGCAUCAUGGGGAAUUGGCGGUUAACGACAUGCUCACUUUACUUGGACGUUUUCUAAUCGUCUUCUUUGGAAUAUGCUUUCAAGGUCUGUGAAGCCAAACUUGAUGCUGGGGAUUUAUUUUUGUCAGUGGAGUCAAAUGGUAAGUUACAAUUUGUGCAUUUUGUCAUACUGGAAACACCACAGAUUAUAUUGUAAUUUAAUAGCUCUGUAGAACAAAUGAUAUAAAGAUUGUAGUGUCAGGGUACUUCUUAAGAAGUAUUAUGGCACUAUUGAUGAUCACAUGCAGGUGGCAUAAACUAAAUAUUCAGACGUGUUACCAACAAAUGAUUCAUUAACAAAAGCAAUGGAGCAGACUGUUUAGGUUCUUGUGGUUGUAAUAACAUCCAUAACUGCAGGUUUGUCAUUAAUUUAUUUUCACAGGUCUAGAUGAUCACAUCUGACUUUGUCAUUUAAAUGAGGUGGACUUGCAAACUUUGCACUCUUUUGGGUAAAUUGCUGUCCACUACAUAUACACAGAAUCUGCACAGUAUUUUAGAUCUAAAAAGGGAGUAUGUAAUGGACUUGCUGGCUUUAAUGUAAAAAGCCUGUUGUGUAACUUUAAUGAGGCAGUUGGACUAAAACAGUAUUGCUCAUCAAGGUAAACAUCUGAGGAAUAAGGAAAUUGUUACUUGUCCUUUUACUCAGUGUUCUUUUAAUCGCACGUUUACUAAAGUUUUACAUCACAUAAGUCAUUUUCACAAUCAUUCUACUUUAAAAGAUUUCAAGACAGAGCUUAUUGUUCUCUGAACUUCCUUGUUUGCUGAACGGCAGGUAAAGUGCAUCUUUUUGUUUGUUUGCUUUUGUGUGUUUGUGUUUUCUCUAAUGGGCCUCAGAUGACUGUUUGCUUAAAUUUGGGUCUCAAAGAAUCUUUUUUUUUUUUUUUUUUUUGUCUGUCCCAUUUGGUUCUUUAGCCGUCAGAAUUGUUGUCUG